rnacentral:rRNA from 1 species
CUACGGGGCGCUCCAGUGGGGAAUAUUGCACAAUGGGCGCAAGCCUGAUGCAGCCAUGCCGCGUGUAUGAAGAAGGCCUUCGGGUUGUAAAGUACUUUCAGCGGGGAGGAAGGGAGUAAAGUUAAUACCUUUGCUCAUUGACGUUACCCGCAGAAGAAGCACCGGCUAACUCCGUGCCAGCAGCCGCGGUAAUACGGAGGGUGCAAGCGCUAAUCGGAAUUACUGGGCGUAAAGCGCACGCAGGCGGUUUGUUAAGUCAGAUGUGAAAUCCCCGGGCUCAACCUGGGAACGGCAUCUGAUACUGGCAAGCGUGAGUCUCGUAGAGGGGGGUAGAAUUCCAGGUGUAGCGGUGCAAUGCGUAGAGAUCUGGAGGAAUACCGGUGGCGAAGGCGGCCCCCUGGACGAAGACUGACGCUCAGGUGCGAAAGCGUGGGGAGCAAACAGGAUUAGAUACUCCUGUAGUC